CAAUGUCAGUGUGAAAGCACAGGCUAUUUGCUAAAGCCACAGAGUCCCAACACAUAGACACCUUUUGCCUAGCCAUGUUCCUUUCUGUGUCUGCAUCUUCUUGGUCUCCCUAUACCAGGCUUCUCUGGGACCAAAUUAGCACAGGUUUCCACUGUACCUUCACACAUGGUCAUGAGGCAUCUUCAUCCACUGCUUUUCCAGGGAAUACAGUUUAAAAGCACACCUUUAAUCCCAGCACUUGGGAGGCAGAGGCAGGCGAAUUUCGGAGUUCGAGGCCAGCCUGGUCUACAGAGUGAGUUCCAGGACAGCCAGGGCUAUACAGAGAAACCCUGUCUCAAAAAACAAAACAACAACAACAACAACUGAGCACUGUGGACUAGAUAACAGUAAUCAGAAAACUUCCCUAACUUAACACUGUCCCCAGAAAUGUUUCCUUAGACAUUUAUGUUCUGAAAGCCAGAGGCUGAAAGCAAGGCAUGGUGGCACUCACUGCUAAUGACUUUAGAGGCUGAGAUGGGAGCUCAGGUUUGAAACCAGUGUAGGCAACAUAGCAAGACACUUUCUCAAUAAAUAACCAAACAGAUAUUUUUAAGGCAGAAGGAACCAUUCCCCCACCAGAAUGGCCCAAUGAAGAGAUGGGAAUCUUCCACAGGGGCUGAAAAGUUUUGCUUUUAACACAAACACUUCAGCCUCCCAUUCUUGGAGAUCCCCUCUUACAAAGGCACUGCUGCAAAGCUCCUUUCCCGGCCUGUCCUCACCCAGCCCCCAAGUUGCUCAAGGCCCAGCCAGCCACCCAAUUUUACAUGUCUAAAUCUGAAAUCAAAGUCCCCGGCAGGGAAAGGGAUUGUCACAAGUAAUUGCAACAUCCCACAAGAAUUUGGAAGUUAAAGGGAGCCAAACCUGGGCCUUCUCCAAAGCUUGCAAGUCUGAGCUUUUUGAGAACCACAUUUGAUCCUUCCAAAGUGUUAAAUGUAAAUGUCUGUCUUGGGCCUGCCUGGAAGCUCUAGGGGACUGUGUAUGGCCCCCUGCUAGCCCACUGUGGUGACAGGUGCAAUAUUUCCUUGAAAGAGGACAGAGUAAGGAAAGGCCUGCCAUGAGCCAUAGGCCCUCAGAAGUGGUUUCUGAACAGCACCCAUGGGAGGAAGGAUCAGAAAAUCUGUGAGAGUCAGGACCUGGAUGGAUGCAAGGGGAGACAUGGAUGGGAGGAAAAAGGCCUGGCAUUCUGCUUCACCUAUACAUCCUUUCUUAGUAGCUUACAUACUAGCUGCCCUUUCCCUAGCUCCUGCAUUUCCUUAUCUCAUUGCAUUUCCACAUUUUGCCUUUAGAGACAUCAUUCUGAGAUUAUACCUACCCUCUCUUUUCACAUAUAGGGGUUAAAAAAAAAAAGCUAUCUUAAAAAACAAAACACUGAAGCUGAGUGUGAUGGCAUUUACAUGUAACCCAGGCACUAGACAGG
rnacentral:lncRNA from 1 species